rnacentral:rRNA from 1 species
UGAAUACGAGACGCUAAGGCGUCGAAGUAGUGUAUGUCAUACUUCCAAGAAAAGCUUGCACUGUCAUAGAUAAAAAACGCCUGUACCAUAACCGACACAGGUGGGUAGGUAGAGUAUACUAAGGGGCGCGAGAUAACUCUCUCUAAGGAACUCGGCAAAAUAACUCCGUAACUUCGGGAGAAGGAGUGCCUUAUUCGUAAGGUUGCAAUAACAAGAUCCAAGCAACUGUUUAUCAAAAACACAGGUCUCCGCUAAGUCGUAAGACGAUGUAUGGGGGCUGACGCCUGCCCAGUGCCAGAAGGUUAAAGAAGUUGGUUAGCAAUUGCGAGGCUGAUAACUGAAGCCCUGGUGAACGGCGGCCGUAACGAUAACGGUCCUAAGGUAGCGAAAUUCCUUGUCGGGUAAGUUCCGACCCGCACGAAAGGCGUAAUGAUUUGGAUACUGUCUCGGAGAGGGGCUCGGUGAAAUAGACUUGUCUGUGAAGAUGCGGACUACCUGCACCAGGACAGAAAGACCCUAUGAAGCUUUACUGUAACUUGAAAUUGAAAUUGGACUUUAUUCGCGCAGCAUAGGUGGGAGGCGUUGAUUAUAAUCUUGCGGGAUUAUUGGAGCCAUCAGUGAGAUACCACUCUUGUAAUGUUAGAUUUCUAACUUUGAAUCAUUAUCUGGUCAAAGAACAGUUUCAGGCGGGCAGUUUGACUGGGGCGGUCGCCUCCUAAACGGUAACGGAGGCGUACAAAGGUUUCCUCUGAACGGUUAUAAAUCGUAUCUAGAGUGUAAAGGCAUAAGGAAGCUUGACUGUGAGACCUACAAGUCGAGUAGGGACGAAAGUCGGUCUUAGUGAUCUGACGGUACUGAGUGGAAAGGCCGUCACUCAACGGAUAAAAGUUACUCUAGGAUAACAGGCUGAUCUCCCCCAAGAGUUCACAUCGACGGGGAGGUUUGGCACCUCGAUGUCGGCUCAUCGCAUCCUGGGGCGGUAGUACGUCCCAAGGGUUGGGCUGUUCGCCCAUGAAAGCGGUACGCGAGCUGGGUUCAGAACGUCGUGAGACAGUUCGGUCCAUAUCCGGUGUAGGCGUUAGAAUAUUGAGAGGAGCCUUCUUUAGUACGAGAGGACCGAGAAGGACAUACCUCUGGUGUACCAGUUAUCGUGCCAACGGUAAACGCUGGGUAGCUAUGUAUGGAGUGGAUAACCGCUGAAAGCAUCUAAGUGGGAAGCCCACCUCAAGAUAAG